GAUGAAGAACGCAGCGAAAUGCGAUAAGUAAUGUGAAUUGCAGAAUUCAGUGAAUCAUCGAAUCUUUGAACGCACAUUGCGCCCUCCGGCAUCCCGGGGGGCAUGCCUGUCCGAGCGUCACGAAAACCCCAUCACACUCGUUGUGGUCAUGGCUGCAGUGAGUCGUCUCCAGCGGAGAGGGUCACGCCGCUGAAAGGAAUGGUGCGGAUGAGUUCCGAUGGCCGAACGUAGUACUUGACAACCGUCGGCCGAUGGGACCCUCCAUCUCGCCCUGACGACGUACCCCCGUCGUACCCCCGAUCAGGUGGACCUCGGAUCAGGUAGGGAUACCCGCUGAACUUAAGCAUAUCAAUAAGCGGAGGA
rnacentral:misc_RNA from 1 species